rnacentral:rRNA from 1 species
CCUUUGUACACACCGCCCGUCGCUCCUACCGAUUGAAUGGCUUAGUGAGGCCUUCGGAUUGAGAUUCGAAGUUUGGCAACAGACUCUGGGUUUUGAAAAGUUGGACAAACUUGGUCAUUUAGAGG